UUGAAGCCCAGAGGAAAUCUCCCUCCUCUAAUGCAGUUUCCACUCCCACGGCUGGGAAGAGAGAGGAAGAUGCAGCAUUGGGGAAGAGCUGAUUAAUACCAGAGAGAAGGAGGUGGCAUUGGGUGGGGUAGCCCCAUUCCCAGCCCAGAGAGAAAGGAGGAGCUGGCAGCAUCAGAGGGAGAGCAUCUCCCCAAUCCAGGAAGCAGCUCCAGUGGGAGAGCCCAGCCCUGCCCAGAGGAAAGACGGGAUGUUGGAGAAGAGCAAUGGGGAGACCCCCUGCACCGGGGUAAAGCAGAGGGAUGUGUCAGUCCUCAGGGCAGAGAGCUCUGUUCGGGUGCUGCUCAGGGAGAGUGUUUCUGUUCAUUAGCAUGGGCAUGAACUCAGCACUCAGGUUGGUGUCAGGAUUAUUUGUGUGAUGUCAGCUUGGGAUCUCCCCAGGUGUUCCGGCACCUUGGCAGAAGUUGGGGAGAGGGGGUACUAGGUCGCACCACCUGUGGCCCUGCCCUCCUCCUGGCCCUGCCCCACUCUUCAUCUUCUCACCGAGGCCCUGACCCUGGCCAGGCUGGGAGCCUUGGCCACUAUGGAGAGCCCCUGACCCUCCACCUUCCCAUGUCCACUCUCCGGCUUGCGCCACCCAGGGCAGGUGGAGGGUCCAGGGGGAAGAGGAGCAGGGUGGGGCCACUGAGAGGGACAAGCACCAGGAAGAAGCUGCACUACACAGGGCGCAGUUGAUCAGCCGCCCCUCCAUGAAGCACAGCCAAUGCUGCGAUGCUCCACGCCUGCCCAAGGCUUGCAGUUUGGGGGGCCAACAUGGCCCCCUGCCCCCAAACUAUGCCCAUGUUAAAAAGAGGGUGAGCUUGGCCCCCUGGCCCCCAUGUUCCAGUGCCCCUGGAUCUCCUCACUGUGAACAGGUUAUUUUUAGGGCUGUGUGUGCCACAGUCACUGGUGAUUUGGUUGGUAACUUUCGUUACAAUAUCAUGACGAUGUUUUCACUGGAAUUUUCUCGGAAUUUAAAGACAAUCUUCAGCUGCAAACUCACCCUGUCUGUGUGCUCCUAGGGAUUCCAGUGCAGAUGGCAGAGUGUCUGGCGGGGGAAAGGAGAAAAGAGACGAAAUUUCAGACCUUCAUAUUUAUAACAGCAUCCCCACUCUGAACGCAUAGAACUGUGUUUUCAUCAUGACAGAGAAACAGAUCGAGAGGCCCAGAGACACACUCAGGCAUUUAAUAGAAACUAACUGAAACCUUCUACUUCUUCUCUCAUUCAGCCAUCUCCCAGCAAUGGAACCAACGUCCUUUCAGCCUCACAACCAUCCCAGGACACACAAUCUCAACUGCACCAUGUCCUGGAGGAACAAGAGCGACUCCUACUGGCCCAGCUGGAAGAGCUGGAUCCAGAGACUGCAGAAAGAAUUGAAAAGACAAAGCAAAUUUUGCAGGAAAUACCUGUGCCUGUGAGCUGCUCAUGAAUGGGCGUGUGUGUGUAUGAUCACAAACCGGAGAACUUGGAGGACGCUGAUGUGGCUAGUAAGUCGGUGAAACUAGCCGAAUAACAUUUCUCUUUUGACGUAGGAAUAAAAACACUGAAUAUUGUU